UACGUAGGGGGCAAGCGUUAUCCGGAUUUACUGGGUGUAAAGGGAGCGUAGGCGGCUUAGUAAGUCAGAAGUGAAAGCCCGCAGCUCAACUGCGGGACUGCUUUUGAAACUGCCAAGCUAGAGUGUCGGAGAGGUAAGUGGAAUUCCUAGUGUAGCGGUGAAAUGCGUAGAUAUUAGGAGGAACACCAGUGGCGAAGGCGGCUUACUGGACGAUGACUGACGCUGAGGCUCGAAAGCGUGGGGAGCAAACA
rnacentral:rRNA from 1 species